rnacentral:rRNA from 1 species
AGAGUUUGAUCCUGGCUCAGGAUGAACGCUAGCGGCAGGCCUAACACAUGCAAGUCGAGGGGCAGCACGGUGUAGCAAUACACUGGUGGCGACCGGCGCACGGGUGCGUAACGCGUAUGCAACCUACCCAUAACAGGGGGAUAACACUGAGAAAUUGGUACUAAUACCCCAUAACAUCAGGACCGGCAUCGGUUCUGGUUGAAAACUCCGGUGGUUAUGGAUGGGCAUGCGUUGUAUUAGCUGGUUGGUGAGGUAACGGCUCACCAAGGCAACGAUACAUAGGGGGACUGAGAGGUUAACCCCCCACAUUGGUACUGAGACACGGACCAAACUCCUACGGGAGGCAGCAGUGAGGAAUAUUGGUCAAUGGACGCAAGUCUGAACCAGCCAUGCCGCGUGCAGGAUGACGGCUCUAUGAGUUGUAAACUGCUUUUGUACUAGGGUAAACUCACCUACGUGUAGGUGACUGAAAGUAUAGUACGAAUAAGGAUCGGCUAACUCCGUGCCAGCAGCCGCGGUAAUACGGAGGAUUCAAGCGUUAUCCGGAUUUAUUGGGUUUAAAGGGUGCGUAGGCGGUUUGAUAAGUUAGAGGUGAAAUGUUAGGGCUCAACCCUGAAACUGCCUCUAAUACUGUUGGACUAGAGAGUAGUUGCGGUAGGCGGAAUGUAUGGUGUAGCGGUGAAAUGCUUAGAGAUCAUACAGAACACCGAUUGCGAAGGCAGCUUACCAAACUAUAUCUGACGUUGAGGCACGAAAGCGUGGGGAGCAAACAGGAUUAGAUACCCUGGUAGUCCACGCAGUAAACGAUGAUAACUCGUUGUCGGCGAUACACAGUCGGUGACUAAGCGAAAGCGAUAAGUUAUCCACCUGGGGAGUACGUUCGCAAGAAUGAAACUCAAAGGAAUUGACGGGGGCCCGCACAAGCGGAGGAACAUGUG